AUACAUAGGGAGCGAGCAUUAUCCGGAAUUAUUGGGUGUAAAGGGUGCGUAGAUGGGUUGACAAGUUAGUUGUGAAAUCCCUUGGCUUAACUGAGGAAUUGCAACUAAAACUAUCAGUCUUGAGUACAGGAGAGGUAAGUGGAAUUCCUAGUGUAGCGGUGAAAUGCGUAGAUAUUAGGAGGAACACCAGUGGCGAAGGCGACUUACUGGACUGAAACUGACAUUGAAGCACGAAAGUGUGGGGAGCAAACAGGAUUAGAUACCCUGGUAGUCCACACUGUAAACGAUGGAUACUAGGUGUAGAGGGAUAAACAUCCAACUGUGCCGAAAGCAAACGCAAUAAGUAUCCCACCUGGGGAGUACGACCGCAAGGUUGAA
rnacentral:rRNA from 1 species